UACAGAGGUCCCGAGCGUUGUUCGGAUUCACUGGGCGUAAAGGGUGCGUAGGUGGCUUUGCAAGUCUGAUGUGAAAUCUCCGGGCUUAACCCGGAAAUGGCAUUAGAAACUGUGAGGCUUGAGGCUUGAAGGGGGAACUGGAAUUCUCGGUGUAGCAGUGAAAUGCGUAGAGAUCGAGAGGAACACCAGUGGCGAAGGCGAGUUCCUGGACAAGUCCUGACACUGAGGCACGAAAGCCGGGGGAGCAAACAGG
rnacentral:rRNA from 1 species